CACUUCAAGUCAUAACACAAUUCAUUAAUAAAUUUUGAUUAUUAUAAUUUUAAGAUGUUUCCUCAAUCAAUUGCAUCCUCCCACUUCUCCUGCUGCCAUUGUAAGCCACGAUGCCAUGAGCUCUUGCCCUAACUACUGCAGCACGCAAUUGGCUGGUCUGCUCACUCCAACUCCUGCCCCUCCAAUCUGUGCUCCACCAAUCUUCAGAGAGAUGUUCCAAACAUGAAUCAGAUCAAGUCACUGCUUGUACCCCACCAUUACCACCAAGAAGUCUUUGGUAGCUUUUGAUUGAAAUCAGAAUAGCCAAACCCUUAAGGCUUUUAUGUGUUUGCCUUUUGAAUAUUUCUCCCCCCGGUCAUCUCAUCCCACUACUACCAGCUACAAUUGAUUUUCUUAUUCAGAUACAUUUAGGCUCUUUUCUUCUACUCUGUGUGAUAAGUUUUCUUUUUGUCCUUUAAGAUUCAGCUUAAAUGUCACUUUUAUAAGGAAGGCUUUUGUAAGAGCCUCAUAAAGGACAAAACUCCCACCUUAUUAUUCUCUCAUUUUCAUGUUUGCUUCAUUCAUAAUACUUAUUACUGCUUGCUGCCUGCUUUCUGGCUUUUUUGGCUGCCUUCCUCCACUCCAGGAAGGUUUUCUGAUGUAUCCCUAGCACCUACCACAUUGCAUGGCAAAUGGCAGGCACUCAAUACAUACUUCCUGAAAAAAUGAAUAAAUGGCUGGAUGUUCUGCUCCACGAGAGCAGAGACCAUUUCUGCCUUGUCCAUCUAUGUCCCCAUUGCCUGGCAUAAGACAAAAACUCAGUGAAUAUGUGUCGAAUCAAUUAACCCAUAUCUUACAGUGAGGAAAUUGAAGCUUAGAGAGUUGAAGCAACUUCCUCCUGGUCAGCCAGCAAAGAGGCAGAGCCAGGAUUUAUACCCUAAUGUUUGACUACUCCAAUUCUUGAAAUGUUAACUCUGGAAGGGGCCUUAGAGAUUGUCUAAUCUAAUAGCCAGAUUUUGCAGAUGACAAAAAUGAAGCUCAGGAUGGUGAAAUGACGCACUCCACUCAUCUAUUUGGGUCUACGUUGUCAGGCCAGUGCUGUGACUUGCUAGGGAGGGAAGUGGAAAUGGAAGCUCCAGAUUCAAAAGAAGUGUGUCUUUUAUUUUUUAAAGUGGGUGUGGAGUUUUAAAACACUGAUCAAACAUAAAAUGUGUCACUCAUCUUAUACUCCUUUUUAGACUCAUUUGGUAAGAAAGAGAGACAACAAUUUGCUGGAAGCACACACGUAUGUGCUAACUGAACUAGUGUCUUGGGACUUCUUCUGCCAUGGCAAAUAAUAACAUAAUCAGUUGUGGAUCCAGUAAAAAGAAAAAGAAAAGUACAAAACUGAGAGUGGUUAGAAACUUUUUGAGAAA